rnacentral:rRNA from 1 species
ACUCCUACGGGAGGCAGCAGUAGGGAAUUUUCCGCAAUGGACGAAAGUCUGACGAAGCAAUGCCGCGUGAGGGAUGAAGGUUUUCGGAUUGUAAACCUCUGUUAUAAGGGAAGAAAACCUGAUAUAGGAAAUGAUAUCAGCUUGACGGUACCUUAUCAGAAAGGGACGGCUAACUACGUGCCAGCAGCCGCGGUAAUACGUAGGUCCCGAGCGUUAUCCGGAAUUAUUGGGCGUAAAGAGCAUGUAGGCGGUUUAUUAAGUCUGGUGUGAAAGCUAGUGGCUCAACCACUAAAUUGCAUUGGAUACUGGUAAACUAGAAUACUGGAGGGGCAAGUGGAAUUCCAUGUGUAGCGGUGGAAUGCGUAGAUAUAUGGAGGAACACCAAUGGCGAAGGCAGCUUGCUGGACAGUAAUUGACGCUGAGAUGCGAAAGCGUGGGUAGCAAACAGGAUUAGAUACCCUGGUAGUGUACUG